GCCCUAAUAGUAUAAACAUUACUUUGGUUUUGUAAACCAAAAAUGAAGUAAAAACUUCUUAGAGCA
rnacentral:tRNA from 1 species